AACUACUGACAGGCUCAGAGAGACAGUGAGACCCAACCCUAACUAACAACUGACAGGCUCAGAGAGACAGUGAGACCCAACCCUAACAAACUACUGACACAGGCUCAGAGAGACAGUGAGACCCAACCCUAACUAACAACUGACAGGCUCAGAGAGACAGUGAGACCCAACCCUAACAAACUACUGACAGGCUCAGAGAGACAGUGAGACCCAACCCUAACGAACUACUGACAGGCUCAGAGAGACAGGGUGAGACCCAACCCUAACGAACUACUGACAGGCUCAGAGAGACAGUGAGACCCAACCCUAACUAAGUACUGACAGGCUCAGAGAAACAGGGUGAGACCCAACUCUGUCUCUCUGAGCCUGUGUCAGUAGUAGUUAGUAGUGUCAGGAGUAGUUAGUAGUGUCAGUAGUAGUUAGUAGUGUCAGUAGUAGUUAGUAGUGUCAGGAGUAGUUAGUA
rnacentral:lncRNA from 13 species